CAGUAGCCGCGGUAAUACAGAGGGUGCAAGCGUUAAUCGGAAUUACUGGGCGUAAAGCGCGCGUAGGUGGUUUGUUAAGUUGGAUGUGAAAUCCCCGGGCUCAACCUGGGAACUGCAUCCAAAACUGGCAAGCUAGAGUAUGGUAGAGGGUGGUGGAAUUUCCUGUGUAGCGGUGAAAUGCGUAGAUAUAGGAAGGAACACCAGUGGCGAAGGCGACCACCUGGACUGAUACUGACACUGAGGUGCGAAAGCGUGGGGAGCAAACAGGAUUAGAUACCCCAGUAGUCCCUGUCUCUUAUAA
rnacentral:rRNA from 1 species